UUCCCGUUACGAGUCAUGUUUUUCUAGGAUUUAAAAUUAUGGAAAUUCUUCAGGCAGAAAAUAGGCACAAAUAGUUAUUAUGGAAAAGCCUUUGAGAACCAGCUCUCUGGUAUUAUUAUGUGGCUCCCUUCAAGAAGUAAUCUACACACUGUUUAUUGGAGCUGUGAAUUUAAUCAUUUCAAUCCCAUGCUGUAGCGGGGUGACUAGGAGAAGAAGUAUUGGCACUCCUCUGGGAUACUUUGCUUAUCUAAUCAUGUUUGCUGGGAUGUGGAAGGUGUUGUUUGUAUUACAGCACUUAAAGAAAGAAAAAAUCCAGUUCCUCCUUUUAGGACAAUGAUAAAUUUA
ensembl:lincRNA